rfam:Ixodes scapularis strain Wikel colony gcontig_1107728765120, whole genome shotgun sequence.
GCAGUCGUGACCGAGUGGUUAAGGCGAUGGACUGGAAAUCCAUUAGGGUCUCCCGCAUAGGUUUGAAUCCUGUCGACUGCG